UACAGAGGGGGCAAGCGUUGUUCGGAAUUACUGGGCGUAAAGGGCGCGUAGGCGGCCUUCUAAGUCGAACGUGAAAUCCCCGGGCUCAACCCGGGAACUGCGUCCGAGACUGGAAGGCUCGAAUCCGGGAGAGGGAUGUGGAAUUCCAGGUGUAGCGGUGAAAUGCGUAGAUAUCUGGAGGAACACCGGUGGCGAAGGCGACAUCCUGGACCGGCAUUGACGCUGAGGCGCGAAAGCCAGGGGAGCAAAGCGGG
rnacentral:rRNA from 1 species